GUGCUUGCUUCGGCAGCACAUAUACUAAAAUUGGAACAAUACAGAGAAGAUUGGCAUGGUCCCUGCGUAAGGAUGAAACACAAAUUCGUGAAACGUUCCGUAUUAAA
ensembl:snRNA U6 U6 spliceosomal RNA